GACGAACGCUGGCGGCGUGCUUAACACAUGCAAGUCGAACGGAAAGGCCCUGCUUUUGUGGGGUGCUCGAGUGGCGAACGGGUGAGUAACACGUGAGUAACCUGCCCUUGACUUUGGGAUAACUUCAGGAAACUGGGGCUAAUACCGGAUAUGAGCUCCUGCUGCAUGGUGGUGGUUGGAAAGUUUCGGCGGUUGGGGAUGGACUCGCGGCUUAUCAGCUUGUUGGUGGGGUAGUGGCUUACCAAGGCUUUGACGGGUAGCCGGCCUGAGAGGGUGACCGGCCACAUUGGGACUGAGAUACGGCCCAGACUCCAACGGGCGGCAGCAGUGGGGAAUAUUGCACAAUGGGCGGAAGCCUGAUGCAGCAACGCCGCGUGCGGGAUGACGGCCUUCGGGUUGUAAACCGCUUUCGCAUGUGACGAAGCGUGAGUGACGGUAAUGGGUAAAGAAGCACCGGCUAACUACGUG
rnacentral:rRNA from 1 species